ensembl:lncRNA
AUGUCCCUUGUUGAUGGGGACCACAGAUUCAACUGUACCACCUCAACUAACUCCACUUGUGAGGUGCAGGACCUGGAGUGUGGUGCCAUGUAUAAUUUCAGUGUCAUCGCUUCAAACAGUUUUUGCGACAGUAUGCCCAGCACUCCCAUCGAACUGGAGACAGCCCCCUGUUCCCUCUCGGCCAUCACCGCAUUCGUUCAGUGCCAUAAUUCUUCCAUCCUUGUGGUCUGGGAGACCAUGGCGGGAGGCGAGGGAAACACUCAGUACAACGCCACGGCAGAGGCAAGCGACAGAACCUACUUGUACUGCAACUCCACCGACACUCACUGCACUCUGUGGGGAGCGCGCUGUGAUCUACGCUAUACCAUCAUAGUGGCCGCAUCCUCCGACCAUUGCAGUGGUCUUCGGAGUCCGCCCUUCAGGAUAAGCAUGGGUACGUCACAGCUACUGUUGAUCCAAUGCAUGCAUUUUUCCUUGAGUGUUUCUGUUUUACAGUCUUCCAGCAAAGACCAGUGUGGCGUUUUGCAACGCUAACGUUUGCGGUUGUGUGUCUUCAUUGUUUCCCAUCGAAGAGCCCUGCCCACCAAGAGAGCUGGUGGUGAACACGUCCUGCGGGGACAGCGGUGCACUGGUGUCCUGGAGGCCCUCCCCAGUGGCCGAGGACUACCUUGUUACUGCCAGGGCUUCCGAUGGCCACAUGCCCACGUGCAACACCAGCUUUAGCAACUGCAGCCUGUCCGACCUCCACUGUGGCCAGCAGUAUAUGCUGUCUGUGACUGCUAGCCAUCAGAACUGCUCAAGCAGGGCCAGUCAAAAUGUCACCUUUAACACAGGUAUGCUCUGCCCGUAUCGUGUCAAAUAAAUGUCAUUGGAUAAAUAUGUAUUAUUCAUCACCUCGAAUGAAGACGAACCUUUACUGUAAGAAUCAUAGUAUUUUCCUUUUGUGCAGGUACUGAUAAGAAAACAACUGAAUCACUGAAACCUUUAACCAUUCUAAAGCCAUGCUUCUUCUAUGAUAUGAACAUGUGUUUUUCUUAAAAUCUGCAUAUCAUUAUGAAUCAUAAUGUUAUAUUUACAUUUAGGGGAUUUUUGCUUUUAUCCAAAGCGACAACCAUUCAUUCACACACACUCACACACACCGUCGGCGGAGUCAACCACGCUGGGCGAAGUCAGCUUGUCAGGAGCAGUCAGGGUUAGGCGUCUUGCUCAACCUUCCGGUUACCAGUCAACCCGCACCACCUCCUGAGCUACUAUCGCCCUAACCAACUAUAUAUAUUUUGUUAUAUAUAGUCCUUAUAUCUUCUACUCUCCCUUCUUCUCACCUCCGGCAGUGAUAUGCCAACCAGACGUUCUCUCAGUCAGCAUCCACUGUGUCAAUCAGUCGGCAGUGCUCUCCUGGACCCCCGUUGGUGAUGUGGUGGGAUACUCAGCCUCUGCUGAGAACGAGGCAGGCCACAUGCUGUUCUGUAACAGCAGCUCAGAGCCCACCUGCACCAUGGGCGGCCUCCAGUGUGGAUCCCAGUAUAACUUCUCCGUCCAGGCCUCUGACGGGACUUGCAACCGCUCCAUCAGUGAGCCAGUGCUGGCCGGAGGAGGUACCACAGAGAUGUUCAUUCAUAAAGCAUAUCAUACGAUGUCCAUUAUUACCAUUAUUAUAUUCGUUUUUUGACCCAAAUUGAUUGGGUUGAGUUAAAUUGGGCUCUUCUUAUUACUAUUUGGGAUUGGAGCGUAUUGGAGUAGUAUAGGGGGCAGCAUAGUCGCAGGUCAAGGCUGUUUGACUCUCAGUCAACAGGUUCUGGGUCAGAACCCUGAUGUCUGCAGUCUACUUGUUUGCGUCCUGGCGGAGGCCUAACCCCCGCCUCCGUGCAUGCAUCUGAAUAGUUGUAGAUACGUAUAUAUGUAUCGAAGGCUACUUGUAUAACUACCUUUUUUUUUUACAUAUGUUCAAAGUCGAUUUGCUGUCUGUCUGGCCCAGUCCCAUGUCCUCCAGAAGAUCUUCAGGUGCAGCUGUUGCCCAUGGAAAGUGCAGUCCAGACACUGCAUUUUGAGUGGUCCCAGGUUGCAUGUCCAGAUGUCCAGUACCAGCUGAUCUUGACUGGCAGCAUAUUAGGGGACAGCCAAGCACAGUUUGAGCUCUCUUCAUAUUGGACAAACUCAACCUUUUUUGAAAUGCCCCUCCCCUGCGGCUCAUCCUACCUGGCUAUGGUGCAGGGCAGAGGACCCGCUGGCACCAGUGCGCCAUCUGAGGCUUUAAAUGGAACUACAGGUACAUGGCUUUCCCCAACCAAGCCUUUGCCUUCAGAGGAUUAAACAAAAUAGAUAGAGAGUUUGAGUGUGAAUGUAUUCAAAUGUACAAGAUAAAAUAGUAUUAAACGUCUCCAUCACAGCCUUUCCAGGUUAGUCAGUGUAUGAAUGCAUUUAUGAAAUGAAAUGGCUGGGUUUGAUUGUUGCAGAAAUGUUUAAAGCUGUGUAUUCAAUUGGUUCUAGAAUACACCUAUUUUACGAAUAGGAUAUUUCCGGAUCAGAUAUGAUACAACUGAAUAAUAACUCAAGCAUGUUCAACGUCCAUCCAAAAUAGCAAUCACUUGAAGCCACCAACCACUAACAAACCAACAAUUCCCUGCCCGCCCUCUUUUAUAUAUUUCCUCCACCCAGCUCCAUGUUCGCCUGCAAACGUGACUUUCAGAGGCAGUACUGCCUCAGCCGUCCUCUCAUGGUACGACUCUGUGUUCGCCACCUACUACACGGUGUACGACAACCGGACGGCGCCCCCGAGCCAAUUGUGCAACCUCACUGAGCUCACCUGCAGCCUGACUGAAGUCCCUCAUGGCAGCGUUCUCAUCACUGCCAGCAACGCAGCGGGCGAGAGUGAUUCGGCCCCUGUCGAAAGAGGUAGGUGCUGCCUUGUUGUGUUUUAGAACAGACACACGCACACAUGCAAGCCUGCAUGCAGCUGUAGCUGAUGAAAAGAGUGAAGUUUAUGUUUCAUGUAUGUAUGAUAGAUACUGCCUCAUCGUUAAUGAAGGGGAACCAAUCUGUCAUUGUUGCACUUUUAUUUUAUUUCUAAAAUGUAAUAAUC